CCUACGGGUGGCAGCAGUGGGGAAUAUUGCACAAUGGGCGCAAGCCUGAUGCAGCCAUGCCGCGUGUAUGAAGAAGGCCUUCGGGUUGUAAAGUACUUUCAGCGAGGAGGAAGGCAUUAAGGUUAAUAACCUUGGUGAUUGACGUUACUCGCAGAAGAAGCACCGGCUAACUCCGUGCCAGCAGCCGCGGUAAUACGGAGGGUGCAAGCGUUAAUCGGAAUUACUGGGCGUAAAGCGCACGCAGGCGGUCUGUCAAGUCGGAUGUGAAAUCCCCGGGCUCAACCUGGGAACUGCAUUCGAAACUGGCAGGCUAGAGUCUUGUAGAGGGGGGUAGAGUUCCAGGUGUAGCGGUGAAAUGCGUAGAGAUCUGGAGGAAUACCGGUGGCGAAGGCGGCCCCCUGGACAAAGACUGACGCUCAGGUGCGAAAGCGUGGGGAGCAAACAGGAUUAGAUACCCCCGU
rnacentral:rRNA from 1 species